rnacentral:rRNA from 2 species
UCUGGCGCCUUCGGUGUCCGAGUUGUAAUUUGAAGAAGGUAACUUUGGUUUUGGCUCUUGUCUAUGUUCCUUGGAACAGGACGUCACAGAGGGUGAGAAUCCCGUGCGAUGAGAUGCCCAAUUCCAUGUAAAGUGCUUUCGAAGAGUCGAGUUGUUUGGGAAUGCAGCUCUAAGUGGGUGGUAAAUUCCAUCUAAAGCUAAAUAUUGGCGAGAGACCGAUAGCGAACAAGUACAGUGAUGGAAAGAUGAAAAGAACUUUGAAAAGAGAGUGAAAAAGUACGUGAAAUUGUUGAAAGGGAAGGGUUUGAGAUCAGACUUGGUAUUUUGUAUGUUUUACUCUCGGGUGAGGCCUCUGCAGUUUACUGGGCCAGCAUCAGUUUGGAUGGUAGGAUAAUGACAUUGGAAUGU